UACGAGGGGGGCAAGCGUUGUUCGGAAUUAUUGGGCGUAAAGGGCGCGUAGGCGGUGUCGCAAGUCCGUGGUGAAAUCUCUAGGCUCAACUUAGAGACUGCCGCGGAAACUGCGGUGCUUUGAGUGUGGGAGAGGUGCGUGGGAAUUCCCGGUGUAGCGGUGAAAUGCGCAGAUAUCAGGAGGAACACCGAUGGAGCGAAGGCAGGUCGUCUGGGACAUUAACUGACGCUGGAGGAGCGAAAGCGUGGGGAGCGAACAGG
rnacentral:rRNA from 1 species